GCCCAGCCAGUCUCCGCGGAGGUGGUGGGAAAAAUCGGUGGAGAUUUUCCUUGCCCGCCCUCGGGCCCCCUUCGGCGCUGUCAGUCAGUCUAGCUCAUUAAUCAUAAGGCUCUAGGCAGCUCCCCUCCGCAGCGGCCCUGAGUCGCCGUCCCCGGCGGUUUUGUCAGUAAGAGCGAGGGGGGCUCAGUCAGUCACCCCUGAUAGAGGUUGGGGGGCGGGGAGCCAGCAAAGGCCAGGCCUUCCCUCGGAAGACAACCACCGCGAAAGUUUUCUAGUAAGCGUGUGUUCUAGGAGUGUUAAGUCCCAGGGAGGAAGGGUGCAAGCUGAGGAAGUAUGCAUAAGAGUGUGCUGUGUGUGUGUGAAAAGGGAAACCGAGGAUGCCGUUUCGUAAAACUGAAAACGAGUUGCGUGAGAGAGAAAGGAGCAUCUGUUGGAUUUCGAUUUAUUCCUGCAUUUCAAGCUAGAAAUAGCUACACAUGUUGAAUUCCAAACUUGUGCAAGAUUUGCUUUCAGCCUCACCUGCUACAGCCCCUGAUGAUAAAGUAGCAACAAGUGGAGUCUUCGUUUUGGGGUUGAUUUGAGCUAGACAUUUGAAAAGCAAACCAUCCUCCGCCAUAGCAUAGAUUACACGUGGCAUUGGGAAAAUGGAUCCAAGGAGACUGAAUAAAAAGCAAGAAAACAUGCAACAUGGCCAACAUAACUUCAUGCAAUAUAUUAUGGAAGAGACAAACAAUGCUAAUUAACAGCAUGUGAUACUAUGAUUAUUUUUUUGGUGGGGGGGGCGGGUACUGUGCAUCAGAAACACUACAGUUAAGAUACAAGUUUUUCUUUAAAAUUUCAGCCAUUUUUGUUGUUGUUAAAUUUGUUUGGCAUUUUUAAUGUGCAAAGUGCUUUGCAACCUUUAGGGGCCAUUUCAGAAAUUUUCUGGCCCAGAGAAAAAGCCUUUCCAUUACAGAGGAGCAGGUGUACUCCUGUCCCAUUCAUCAUUAUAGAUUGUAUUAUGACUGACAGAGGUGCUCUGUACUUGCUUUCAAUUUGUGCAAUUCUUCUGAUCCAAAAAAGGGAAGGAGGAAGUCAUGCAAAUUAGGUGUCUGUACAAUUGGGCAUCCAUAUCACAUAUGACCUGUGUCACGUGUGAUAAUAUCUACAUGAGCACACUCAUCGACUUCAACAUGCAGAGCAUCGCUGGCUGAGCCAAGCCAAUGUUGCUUUCUCUCUCAACUAUCUCACACACAGAGAUCCCACCGCUACAACAUAUUUUGCUGGACCCCAUCCAACAUAUUCAAAUGCUACAGGAAGAGGACUCUUCUCAUCUAUUAAGUAGUAUGGCAUCAUAAGAGUUAAAGCAGCUGAAACUCCAAAAUAGGCCAUAAAACAGACAAGCAGGGAAGUUACUAUUCCAAUAGUUCAUGACAAUUCCACUCUCAGGCUCAAGAGAUUUUCAAGUGUGGGAACAAACUGAUACAAUGAAGUCUUGGAACUCAACUUUUGACCUGCAAUUGAAAGGGUAGUGAGGCAAACUCUUCAGGCAAAGACUGAAAUUAAUGAAGAAUGUUUAUCAGUGCUAGAAGAGAAGAGUAUCACUAAGUCAAAAACUGUAUGCACACGUACUUGCCAGAGGACCCACUGAACUCAAAAAGUUGCUGAUAUCGCCUUUCACAAAACCAGAAAUCAUAACAAAGAGAAGGACCAAGAUGUUAACAGCAGUGAAGAUUUUAUUCACCCAUGCAGAUUCUUUUACUCCAAAGGAUAAGAGGCCUAUAAUAAACACAAACACACACACAAAGGAAGGAGCUCAGGCGGUGUACUACAUACUUAAGUUUCUCCUCACAACAACCCUGUGAAGUAGGUUAGGCUGAGAGAGAAGUGACUGGCCCAGAGUCAUCCAGCAAGUAUCAUGGCUGAAUGGGGAUUUGAACUUGGGUCUCCUCGGUCCUAGUCCAGCACUCUAACCACUACACCACGCUGGCUCUUUUUUUUUUUUUUUAAUGUUUACAUUUGAAUGUUCUAGGAAACAGAUAUAUUGCUUUCUGUGUCAGGCUAACAUAAUUGUUUCCAUAAUGAGUUACUGUCAUACUUCACAAACCUCAGUUAUCAUCCUCUUAUUCCAUAUUCAAGUACAAGAUAAAACACAGUACCACACACCAUAAUAUUACAAAACUGUUAAGAGACAGAAAAUGCAAAAGAAUUCCUAUAGAUUGGAUUCACUAUGCUGGACGUUAGCCAACAGCCAGCACAUCAGAUGCUUAAUUCUUUGCCAUUAUAAGACACAACAUUAAACCUUGCUAACUGAUGUACCUUUUCAAGUGGUGGCUCUCUUCUAUUUAGCAGGGGGAGAGAAACUGCCUCUAUUCAACCAGCACAGUAUCUUGUCCAGUGGCUGUUUCUAUUAUUAUUAUUAUUAUUAUUUAUUAUUAUUAUUUUGUAUCCCUUGCUUUUAUAGUGAGAACCUUUGGGACAUGGGACAUUAUCAAUUUUUUUGCUAUAGUACCCACUUUGAGAACUUUUGUUGUUGUUGAAAAGCAGUUUAAUUAUAACUUGGAGAUCGGUUUUAUGUUGCUCUCAGAAAGCAUAGAUGCAUCUACUGGUAACCUGUGCACUCGAGUCUAGGAUCACUUUGGGGUACCAUCUAGCACCACAAACUCGUUCCCCUUUCUCACCCCUCUGCUUCUUGAAGUAACUCAGGAGAGAUUAUGGCCAGUGCAGAUGUCAUGCCCAGUUUCUUAUUCAUGGCUAAGAGACCAGAAGUAGGGCAUGAGCUCUCAUAGGUGCCUUUCUUUCUCUGACACAAAUUCCCUCCCCUUCACUUGUUUUUCUUAAUCAUAGUUUAGCACUAGUAUGUGUUUAAUACUAAAGGCCUCUUCACACGAUCAAUCUAAUGUCAGUUCUAUGCACACCCAUGCUUUUUUGGCGAGAUCUAGUUGACAAUGCACCAACCCAAUGUUUUAUUUAUUAUUUUAUCAUAUUUAUUUACUGCUUGAUAUAAAAAUCAUGAUCUGCUGCCUUUAUAAAACAAAGCAUGCAUACUCACUGUUUUCCUAUUAGUUCUUGGAAAGCCAAAUCAUCAUCUAGUAGAGCUGUAUGUGCUAUUUAUUCUACAGAAUUGUUAGUUACACCUAGAGAUGUGCACGGAACCAGCUGACCUGGUUUGGUUCGAGGUCAGACCGGCCUCGAACCCGACCAGGCCAAUUCAGUCUGGCUCCCCCUCAACUCCGCCCCCCGGUCUGGUCUGGUCUGGGGCGGUUCGUGAUCUUGAUUUUGUAAAAUAAUAACAACAACUUUUUUUUAACAUAUUACUCCCCUCGGGGGUUCCUGCAUAGGCUACACAGAGGUCAUGUGCGCAGGUACAUGACCUCCAUAAUGGCCUCCGGACUGCAGGUGAAGGCCAAAAACUGGCUGAACAGGUCAUUUCAAAGGCUGGUGGGGGGAGGGGGAACCUCCACAGACCCCCCCCCCACCACCACCUCCAGGAACUCUCCAGAGGGGAGUAAAAGGUUUUUAAAAAGUUAAUUUUAAAAAAAAUCAAGAUCGCAACCCCCACCCCGAACAUUCGGGGGUGUUUGGUCCGUAGUUGGACCGAAAAGGAGGUGGUUCGGUAUGACCCCGAACGGUCAAACCGAACCGGUUUGACAUCGAACCUGCUUGCACACCCUUAGUUAUACCUAUUCAUUCGGUUUGCACAGAGGCCCAAAACUCUGUACCUGACCUUGAAAAACCUUUUACUUAACCUAUAUACCCUCCAUCGCUCACCAUCCCAAAUUCAUAGCAGUUUAUCCUCUUCUCAUAUUGCAGACUUCUGAAUAGUGCCAACAGUGGCUAAAAGGUCAGGCGCUCUCUCUCUCUCUCUCUCUCACACACACACACCCCUCAAAGUAAUUUUUCAACACCACUCAAGAACAAAAGCUAAGAGGUCUGUACUUGGCAUUUUCCUUAUUAAGCUUUGAGAUUUUCUAAACUCACCUAUCACGUAGGACAAAAUGAGAUUCCAGCC